rnacentral:tRNA from 1 species
GCCUGGGUGGCUCAGUCGGUUGAGCAUCUGACUUCAGCUCAGGUCAUGAUCAGGUCCAUGAGUUCGAGCCCCGUGUUGGGCU